AUACAUGCAAGUCGAACGCACUGACGUCGACCGAAGCUGCUUGCAGUGGACGUUGAUUGACGUGAGUGGCGGACGGGUGAGUAACACGUGGGUAACCUACCCUUAAGUGGGGGAUAACAUUUGGAAACAGAUGCUAAUACCGCAUAACCAUUCAGACCACAUGGUCUGAAUGUAAAAGACGGCCUUUGGCUGUCACUUUUGGACGGACCCGCGGCGUAUUAGUUAGUUGGUAAGGUAACGGCUUACCAAGACAAUGAUACGUAGCCGACCUGAGAGGGUAAUCGGCCACAUUGGGACUGAGACACGGCCCAAACUCCUACGGGAGGCAGCAGUAGGGAAUCUUCCACAAUGGACGAAAGUCUGAUGGAGCAACGCCGCGUGAGUGAAGAAGGUUUUAGGAUCGUAAAACUCUGUUGUUGGAGAAGAACAGGGACUAGAGUAACUGUUAGUCCUUUGACGGUAUCCAACCAGAAAGCCACGGCUAACUACGUGCCAGCAGCCGCGGUAAUACGUAGGUGGCAAGCGUUGUCCGGAUUUAUUGGGCGUAAAGCGAGCGCAGGCGGUUUUUUAAGUCUGAUGUGAAAGCCUUCGGCUUAACCGAAGAAGUGCAUUAGAAACUGGGAAACUUGAGUGCAGAAGAGGACAGUGGAACUCCAUGUGUAGCGGUGAAAUGCGUAGAUAUAUGGAAGAACACCAGUGGCGAAGGCGGCUGUCUGGUCUGUAACUGACGCUGAGGCUCGAAAGUAUGGGGAGCGAACAGGAUUAGAUA
rnacentral:rRNA from 1 species